rnacentral:misc_RNA from 1 species
GAAAUGCGAUAAGUAGUGUGAAUUGCAGAAUUCAGUGAAUCAUCGAAUCUUUGAACGCACAUUGCGCCCCUUGGUAUUCCAUGGGGCAUGCCUGUUCGAGCGUCAUUUGUACCCUCAAGCUUUGCUUGGUGUUGGGUGUUUGUCCUCUCCUUGCGUUUGGACUCGCCUUAAAGUUAUUGGCAGCCAGUGUAUUGGUCUUGGAGCGCAGCACUUUUUGCGUCCUUUGCUAAAGAUCACUAGCAUCCAUUAAGCAUAUUUAUCACUUUUGACCUCGGAUCAGGUAGGGAUACCCGCUGAACUUAA